rnacentral:rRNA from 1 species
AUUCACGGAGAGUUUGAUCCUGGCUCAGGACGAACGCUGGCGGCGUGCUUAACACAUGCAAGUCGAACGAUGAACCGCUUUCGGGCGGGGAUUAGUGGCGAACGGGUGAGUAACACGUGGGCAAUCUGCCCUGCACUCUGGGACAAGCCCUGGAAACGGGGUCUAAUACCGGAUAUGACUGUCCAUCGCAUGGUGGAUGGUGUAAAGCUCCGGCGGUGCAGGAUGAGCCCGCGGCCUAUCAGCUUGUUGGUGAGGUAGUGGCUCGACCAAGGCGACGACGGGUAGCCGGCCUGAGAGGGCGACCGGCCACGACUGGGACUGAGACACGGCCCAGACUCCUACGGAGGCAGCAGUGGGAAUAUUGCACAAUGGGCGAAAGCCUGAUGCAGCGACG